AUGAGCAAUUAAGAAUAGGAAUACAAUACUGAUAUAAGAAAAAAAAAUAUCUUUUUGUAUAUACAUAAAUAGAAAUACAAGAUCCUAGGCUACCAUAAACAAAUGGCAGCUAAUAACUGGAAUGUUGAUAUGUUUUCAAUGCUCUCUUUCGAACUCUGCAACAGCUUAGCUUCAAAAUCUGCACACAACGCACAAAAGUGUAUUAUGAGUGUGAUUGACCCCAUAUACUCUGUAAGUAUCAAAACAAACCUCAAUGAAGUAGUAGCAAAAUUUUAGUCAAAAUAUACUUGUUUUAUAAAAUUGUGCAGUUAUAAGCAUAUACAACAACAGAAAAACAAUUAAGAAAAUAAUAGAUAUCAAUAAUAAGGUACACAAUCAAAGAGAAGAAUAAUAAGCACCCUUCUUCUGGAUAACAAGGUUAGAAAUACAGAUGCAUCAAAUUCUCGUACAAAGAAAAUAUGCAACAAGUAGUAAAAACUGAAACUUUUCAUCAAUACGAUAUUCACCAAGUGUCCAACUACCUGCUAUCAAGUCACAUACUAGUGUAAAAUAUAUGAAUAAUAUGUCUGAAUAUUUCUACAUGAGUUUAGAAUGUCUAUGCAUGAUAAAAACUCAAUACCAAAACCGUAUAAAUUCAUGUAUCGGACACAAAUCUAUGUGUCCAUACGUAAGGCAUUUGAAAUCACUAUUUUCCUGCAACAAUACUUAGAAGAAUAUUUAAGCUUAAUAAAAAAUAAAAUUUUAAAUUGGAUAGUAAAACAUAUUUAAAUGGAAAGAAAGAAAAAAAAAAUAACUGAGUCUUUGAGCCACCACUCCAAUCCUCCACUUCACAAGUAAUAGCAAGACCAAGUCUCCGUAAAUCAAGGCUGUCCAAGCAUAUCCAAAAGAACAUUUUUAGAUCCAAUAAUUACUACCCCUUAGGCUUAAGCCCAAUCCCAUUCGAUAUUUUCAAGCCCAAUCAUAUUACUAACGUUUUUCGCCGGAAGUGUAAAAACCAAUGGCCGGAAAAGGAGAAGGUCCGGCGAUCGGGAUCGCUCUCGGAACCACAAACUGUUACGUCGCCGUUUGGAAAAAUGAUCAUGUGGAGAUGAUCACCGAAGAUUGCGGUGGGAGCGAGCUCGCUCGUACGACGCCGUCCUACGUUUCUUUGUAGAAGACCGGCGUUGGAUUGGUCUCAGUUCUAAGCUCGGUAUCGAAAAUAACCCCACUAACACAGUUUUCGGUAAACAUUUGAUUCUCAAAAUCUUAAUUCUUUUUAUUUUUUACGUUUAUUGAAAUAGUGUGUUAUUGAUGGAUGCAUGUUAUAUUUGUUAUAAUUACGUGAUCAUUUCAGUAUUUGAAGUUUAUCACCAAGUUUAUUAUUCGUCUUAGUUACUAGAUUCACUGUUAAAUAUUUAUAUUUAAUGAAUUUCCUAAUAUUUUAAGAGUUUAAGCAAAAACUACCGGAUUCUUUCGAACCUGUGUCGAAUCAAGCUUAAUUUUCAUGUUCAGCGAUGUGUGUUGUCAUUCAUAAAUAAUUGCUUGGAUUUUAUAAUUACAAUGCAUCCAGUAGAGUAUGUGAUUAGUGUUUUUUUUUUUAUUGGAUCUCCAUAACCUCAAUGCAUUUAGUAUGAAUAUGAAAUCAUUUAUAUUUUUAGAUCAUUUUAUAGAGAGAUUAGUUUCUGGUUUCCAACUUAUACUGCCACUAUAUAUAAUAUAUUGUAAUUCUUGAAUAUCUAAAUUCUAAUUUUACAAAAAUGAAUUGAUCUAGCUGCAUUUAAGUUCAAAAAUUAAUAAAAAUUGUUAGUAUCAAGCAACUUUGGACAGAGAGAUUAGUUUGUGGAUGGUGCUAUAUAAAUACAUUGCAUGCAGUAUGAGUAUGAUAUCAAUUUCUCCUCUGUGCUAUAAUAAUGGUAGGUGUAUUUUCCUAUUAACAGAUGCAAAGCGCCUUAUUGGGCGGAGGGCUAGUGAUCCCUCUGUACUGAGUGACAUGAAAAUAUGGCCAUUUAAAGUUACUGCUGGACCUGGUGACAAGCCAAUGAUUUGUGUAUACUACAAGGAAGAAGGAAAGCAGUUUACUGCUGAACAAAUCUCAGCUAUGGUUCUUACAGAAGUGAAGAGAGUUGUUGAGAAAUUCAUUGGAUCAACUGUCAAAAACGCCGUGG
rnacentral:lncRNA from 1 species